UACGGGGGGGGCAAGCGUUGUUCGGAAUUACUGGGCGUAAAGGGCGCGUAGGCGGCCUUCUUAGUCAGACGUGAAAUCCCCGGGCUUAACUCGGGAACUGCGUCUGAUACUGGAAGGCUGGAGUUCGGGAGAGGGAUGUGGAAUUCCAGGUGUAGCGGUGCAAUGCGUAGAUAUCUGGAGGAACACCGGUGGCGAAGGCGGCAUCCUGGACCGACACUGACGCUGAGGAGCGAAAGCCAGGGGAGCAAACGGG
rnacentral:rRNA from 1 species